GCCAGCAGCCAUAUCAUCCUGCAACUCACAACUGGCAACCCACUGAAGCUAAGCAGGUGUGAGCCUGGUCAGUACCUGGAUGGGAGACCUCCGGGGAAAAACUAAGGUUGCUUCUGGAA
ensembl:rRNA 5S_rRNA 5S ribosomal RNA